GACAGAGGAUGCAAGCGUUAUCCGAAAUUAUUGGGCGUAAAGCGUCUGUAGGUGGUUUAAAAAGUACACUGUUAAAGAUUAAGGCUUAACCUUAGAAAAGCAGAGUAAACUUUUAAGCUAGAGUUUGGUAGGGGUAAAGGGAAUUUCCGGUGGAGCGGUGAAAUGCGAUGAUCUCGGGAGGAACACCAAAAGCGAAAGCACUUUGCUGGGCCAAGACUGACACUAAGAGACGAAAGCAAGGGGAGCAAAUGGG
rnacentral:rRNA from 1 species